GCACGCAAAACGCAUUAAAUUAUCACAAAUUAAUUAGUAGUAAAUUAUUACAAAUGGAGAAGUGAAAAUUUAGUACGUAUUUGUUGGCAUAAAAUUCUCAUGAGAUUUCUCGCACUAAAUUCAUACAUAAUUCGCACCUGGAAAAUUGCACGAAUCCAAUUGCAGUAAAAAUGUGCUAGAAUAUUUGUACUGAAUUCGUGCCGAUUAUUCCGCGAUAAUUUAUUAAUAAAUUAGUACUAUUUCUCUAUUAGCGAUUAAAUAAACCAAUUCGAGCAACGUAAUCAGUCAGGUUGGCAUCUGACAAAGUAGCGUCGCCACGUUUUUUCUCCAUUUUGAAUUCCAACCAGAAAGUUGGUGAGCUAAUUGUGAACCUAUGUCGGACAAUUUGAAAGCAUUCGUAUUAUUCGAGUUUGAAGUUGACGAGGGGGUGGAGGUUGUGCCGUCCACAUGGAGUUUCAAGGAUUCAACUUUGUCAGUUUACUAAUCCCAUUCCUAAGGGAUUUUCGAGUUAUCAAAGUGACCCAUUUUCUCUCCCGCAAGAAGGUUGGACGAAUUAUGGCAUAUUAUAUGUCGGAACACACGAUACGUACGAUAAAGCCGUAAAGAAAUUGGAAAAAUAUAUAAAGAAUAAACCGAUCGACUCUAGUGACUGUGACAUACCAAGACGUCGUCAAGAAUCAAAUUCUCAGCUGAAGCGUCUGAGGUGAACAUUAUACUAGCCCCUGACACCGAUUUGUGCACCGAUAGUAAGAAAAUCAUAAAUAAUAAAUUCACUGUAGUUUGAAACACACUUCAAUCUUAAUAUUUAUUUUCAUCGGGAACUCAACCGUCCCCAUCGCCAUCCCCUCAACUGAAGAAGUGAGUAGCGAGACCCCACAGGUUCAAAGUUAGCAAUUAGAGCCGGACCCAGGGAUUGAAUCACUUAUAUCAGAAUUCAGAGAAUUUCAAGAAGAGUCAUUGAGAAAUCAGCAUAUGUAUAUUGUUGGAAAGGGUGGCAAAUCUUGAAAAACUUCUGAUAAAAUCAACAAGAGCUAGUUGCCCAAAUUCAAAAACUGUGGACGAGCUGGAGAAUAUCUAAGCGUUACUGGCAAAUCCAUCCUAUUAUAAUGAAGAAAUUGCUUCUCUUUCGAGGAAGGGUGGAUCGUCGUUGGCUAAGGACGUGUACGACAUACUCAUUCCAUGAUUACGAAUGAGCUUCGUUCUAAAAUUCGAUAUACUGGAAAAAAGCGACAAGAUUCCAUUCGCAAAUCGAUUAGCAGCUAAUCUACUUCAAGGUCCCAUAUAUUUAAUUCUGCCGAUGAUUAAUGAUAAAUAUUUUUGUACGCCAAUUUGCAAUUCAUCUUUUAAUUAGAAAUUAAUCUAUAAAUUAGAAUUAUUUGAGAACCAAUUAAUGUGGAAAUAAUGAAGAUGAAUUUGAAAUAAAUAAACAAUUGAA